AUCAGGAAUAACGGGUGCUGACAGGGACUUCAAAUGUGAACGCCAGCAAGGCUAAUGCAGAGGCAGAUCCCCCAAUAGAAAAGCACUUGGUGUGACUUGCAACGCCUAAACGUGACCAGAGGGGUUUUGUGACAGCCUGUCGGCUGACCCCUCUCUGGGCCAGAGAGGGGUCGGCCUGACAGUUUGUGUCGGGGCAUUUUGGCUGUGAGGGAGGGACCAGCUGCCAGUAAAGGAUGGUAUUGUUAACCGGACCUCCUUGGCCAAGCAGGCAGAGGCGGUGAGGAAAGGCAAGAAGUGAGACAGGGCGGAGGUGCACGUUAGUGCAGCCCAGAGCAGAGGCAGCCGAGCGGAAAAAACGGCUCACCCAGGAUACAAAAACAAGAAAGGGUUUGAGGCCGUGGAGAGAGAGAGAGAGAGAGAGAGAAAAAAUCCCCUCCGUCUCUACGUUUGACGCAAUCAUUACCACAGAAACAAAUGGAGAGCGCUUCAAACAAGACGCAGCCAAAGCUGCUGAGUUUCUUCAGUAAUUUCUUGCUGUGUGUCUGCAGAUUGACAUGUCACAAGAAGUAACAAUCCCCUGUAUUAUUUUUGCUAACAUGUUCAAAAAGGAAUAACAGGCUUUGGGACAGAGGAGAAAAUGCCAGCAACAGGUGGAGAAAUACAUUGAGAGAUUGUGGUGUGGAACUAUUUAACAGAUGAAGGAAUUGUCAGAGACCUGACAAAUUGCACCAAAAGCAAAGGACAACACCCAAGGAACACAAACACAGAAGAUCACUUAAAUCUCUGAAUCGAAGAUGAUAUAGCACCAACAGGACUGGCAGCAUAAUGAUUUAAAUAUUAAUAACUGGUAUUGGACAUUUUAACCAGCCUCGCUACUUGAGCGUAUCUGAUGUCAAACCUGCUGCCUAGAAAAUUCCUGAUCUACCACUGCUGGAAAAGUAAACUUACACAAAUUACCGCCACGUUGCAAGCUAAAAGCACUUGUGGUUUUAAAAUGUCGUCCAGCAUUUUGUAAUUGAGAGAACACUUUGCACAAAAUGCAACAAUGUUUUCAUAAUAUGAAGCCUUUAAAAUAUGGUGUACACAUGCCAAACUUCUGUUGACUCAUGAAAAGUUGUGUACUAAAAUAUUUGCGUAAGGUGUCAAAUAAUUUUGCAAGAUGUCUGCCAUCUUUGCAUUAGAACCUACCUCAAUAGCUUUAUUUAAUUUUAAUAUUUACAAUAAUGAAUGAGAAUUGCGGAAUUUCACAAGGUAAUUACUCAAAUUUGAAACUUUACUGUAGAUUUGCUUUAGUGAGGUGGCUACUGGAAUUCAAAUAAACGUGAAGGUUGUGGAGAAUAUGGUGUAUCUGUUGUUAAAGAUGUAAAGCUCCAUUAUGGACCUGGGGACCCAUUAGUCAACAAUUUAUGUAGCAGUUUGCAAUUCAAGAUAAAAGCAUUACAGCUUGAUCAACUAAAACAGACAAAUAAUAUUUUAAAGGGAAGUUAACAGAAUACCAGGCCAUAAUAAUUAAGUUCCAAAGUUCUACAUAGACAUUGAACCUUGAUGUUUAAUGGAAUCAAUUGAACCAUCUCAUUUUAUGCCAAGCAGCAGAAUCAACAGGUUUCAAUAAUUUAUUAUACUUGUUAUCUAGGCACUUGCAGAAACAAAUAUAGAUGAGAAAACCACACAAAACAUUUACUAAGAAUAUUCAGUCUUUACAAAACCAGUGAAACACUCAAGAAAGAAACGAAACUAUUUUUUUGUUUCACUUCAUUGACUGCUCUGUAAGAUUAAAUCACAAUAAAGACCUGAUUGCAAAGCUUUUUUAAAAAAUAACAACUGUUUGUACAAAUGGAUGGUAAAUGUCAGCAGGUACCUUUUAUUUGUAACAUUGCCUGUAAGCAGUAUAUAUGAAAGAAACAAAAUUUUACAAAUUAGGGAUUGACUGGUACUGUCAGAGGUCUGUACUUUUAGUGAAAUCCUGCUCUCUGUGCCAUUGUAAGGACCUCAAGCCCAUGAUAUUAAUUAAUUCAGUUCCCUGUGAGUUUUUGACUGCAAACCUUGCCUGAACACACACAUUGCAAUAUUUCUCCUAGUUCACAAGCAGCUGAUGUGAACCUUGUGCAGUUCCUGAUGUGGAAUUGGUUGAUGGCAUUGGAUAACCUAAAGAGCUUGCUUGCCUCUGCUAUCCUCACCAUAAUGAGCACAGAAAUGAAUGAAAAUCAGUUAAAUCUGUUUUUUUUUCAAUAAACCAGAUUGACUAACUAUUGUUGCAGAACCAUGAAACAUCACCAACAUAAAUAUAUAACUUAAUCCUGUAUUUCUUCAGGGAAUGACCUGUAUUGUGUUUAAACAUGUAUUGAUCUAUUUGGAUUUCCAUAGUCAUGUCUGUUCAAAACCACUUUCAAGAUCUUUGGGGAAGCUUUGCCAGAGUAGAUAUCCCCAAUCUCACUUAAAACAGACUUUUCUUAAUUAACUCACUACUAAUUCCGUAUAUGAAGAAUCCAGCAUAUUCUCUCUGUCCAGGAUCAGGUGCUGAAAAGAAGAUUGCAAUUUUCUAGAACUUUUUUUUCCCCACUUUUCUCACUCUCUCUUGUGCUUGCGCUCACACACAGAAUUAUUUUGAAAUACAAUGACUUUUAUAACGUGCAAACACAGAUGCAUGUAUCUUUGUGUAUUGCAGGAAUCAGCAGACAGCCAGAUCUGCAUGAACACUUAAUCUGCAUUUAUUUGUUGGGGGAAGAAAAGUUGAGUUGGGACAGUGGAAGAACUCAGACAGAAUAGGUAUCAGCUUAAAAUUCUCAUUCAAAAGACAACAACAAUGAUACUGCAUUUUAGUGGUGUGCCAAAUUGGACUGUAUAGUCACAAUUUUCUGAAUCCAGACAUCAGAGUAUGAAGUUUGUUAACCUUUGCACAAUGUAAUAAACCUGUUCUUCAUUAAAAUUAAAGUUAUUUAACCAUACUUUACACAUGUAUCUGUUAUUACAUAACUUAGAUACAUUAGACUCAGAUUUGUAGCUUUGUUUGUUAAGAUUCAGUUCCUGAUAAUUGACGUUAUAUUCCAGAUGUGCUAAUCAACUAUAUUUUGUCUAAUAUAGUGUGAAAAUAUAAACUUUGUGGUAGUUAAUGGGAAUAUUACUUUACUGAAAAUGCAAUAAGUAAAUGAAACAUUACUGAACACAGGGCCACAAGCAGAAUAACAUUACUAAACACAGGCCAAGAAGCAAAUGUAACAUAGAACAUGCAAAUAUAACAUUACUGAACAAAUGGCAAUAAGCAAAUGUAACAAUAUAUAAACAUUAAUGAAUAUAGGAUAGUUCUACCACAUAGCAGUCAAGUAACGUUGAGAUGACAUUGAAUAGUACGGUUCAAGAUAUCUGUUUUGUUCAAAUUUGGGUUGACUAGCAUCUGUGCAAAAUGCUUCACUUUUUGUUUCAUCCCUCCUAACUGUGCCAAAGGGCAUAUCUUAUUCCUACCUACACCAUAGGUAUCAGUUGAAUAUGUCUCUGCUGGACUCCUAAGUUACAUGGCUAGUAUGUUCCAUAUGCUGUGAUGCAUAAAGUAAAUACAAUGAUGGUAGAUUUUGUUUUCUGACCUUGUGGAUUGAUUGCCCUUUAUAGAAACCACUUGCUUCUAUUGAAAUGAAAAUAGGGCAGUUUCUAUAAUGAGUGGCUGAUCCGCAAGCCCGGUUUAAUGCCUAGGUGGCAGAUUGAAAAUCUACCUCAGUAGCUCUUUAUGGUAUACAUUCACGAGAAACACAGUUUACCAGUGGUCCACAUCUAUGCAGACAGUGCAAACAAAUUUCCAGCACUAUUUUGAUGGGUGGAAAAUUGUUAUGUCAAAAUUGAAGAGAUUAGAAGUUGUUACAGACCCACAUUAUCUUUAACCAGGAUCUUGCCAUCUUAAAUAGUGCUGUGGAGAGCUAACUUGAAUUCUAUACCUGGAAGAUGCUUCACUUGAAGUGUGGCAUUUUCGUGAUCGCAACUUACACAUGCUUUUUUUUUCCCCACUUUGAGGUUAAAUUUCCCUUUUUCUUUAAAUUAUUCUCUUCAUACUUCAGACAAUAGCCAAAAACACACAAUUUUUACUAAAACUAUUGGACAAAUACUUUUGUAUUCAUAUGACAUUUUUUGUCAAUUACUUUAAUGAACAUGUUAACUCAUUUAAAACGAAAUGAUUAAAAGUGGUGUUAAAAAUAUAGAGAGGGAUGUUGCAUGAAUGCUCUAAAAUGGAUCUGCCAAAGAUAGUGCAGAAUAAUUUAUUAGCUAACAGCACAUAUUUUCUGUUUAUUCUUUUUAACUUUUUUUUAUUAAACCGUUUCUUUGAAAACUAGACAGACAUUCAGAACUGUGGUAACAACGGACGACAGUUCAGUGUUUUUCUCCCACUAAAACAGUUUAAACAGUUUAAAAUUGACUACAGAUCUGAAUAUAACACACUGUAUUCAGCCUUGAUCUGUUCCUUUAGCUGCCUUAAAAUAGCAGAGAUUCAUGUCUCUACAUGUAACCAACAUCUGGUGAUUAAGUUUAAUUUAAAUUUGUUCUGUUUAUGCAAAUUAUUGAUUUCAAAGGGUUAAUGACGCACACUUGCAAUAUUACACACCACAACAGCUUGUGAGUCUGCGCAUUUUCUUCUGUAUUCUGCGCUAAGAGUUUGCGUGAUAUUAACUAUUAUUAAACAAAGCUCGGAGAUAAUUCUCUCCUGGAUAUGAGCUACAUAUCCUUAACAUUGUUGGCCCUUCAAUUUUUCAAUAUUGCCAGUAAAUAAUUUAAUUUUUUCAGAGCUUUAUUCGCUGCUUCAUUCCUAUUUUUAAUCAACGCUACAUUUGAUAAUCUGAAUAUCCACCAAGUUUCUUUAUGACCACAAAUAAGGGUCCAUUUUUGUGACAAGUAAAAUCGUUUGAUGAAUCGAUUCCUUCUUUCUCCCAUGCUGGUGCAGUAGGAGCGGUCAACAUCUCAGAGUUGAAAAACCACUCUUGCGGAUUGUCCUCAACAGCUUGCAUUAGUUGACAUCAACACACAAGUACAUGCUUUCAGGAAUCAAAACUUCUACCACCAAGCCACUCCAGUAUUUAAAAGCAUGAGUCCUCUCCAUGAUUGUUAGAUUAAAUACAAGAAGGUUGUUAUUCAUGCCUCUCCUCAGUUGCUUUUCUUUUAUUGUAUGCUCAUGUAAAUUCAAAACUGUGUGGGGACUAAGUAAAAUUCCUAAUGUGACAAGAUGAGAGUUCUGGGAUGACAUCAAUGAGACGUCAUAUUGUCAGUAACCUGUAUUUCUGGUGUUUCUGGGGAAAAAAAAUCUUCAAAGAUGAGGAAAGAAAAUGCAUUGUCAUUAUCAUUCUUACACCCUGAAUGUAAAAUUGCACUCAACAAAUGAUAUUUUCUAAGGCAGUGUCCAGUGUUGUGCAAUGCAUCCUUUCAUCUAGGUCUGUGGAAGAAGAAAAAGUCUUUAAAAAUAAUUUAUUUUCAUUACUGCUUUAGCAGCUUUUUAAAUCAAAGAAACACUUUGAGUGUUAUCCUGAA